GUGCCACUGCUGUCUCUGUAACUGGCAGCACUUGCUUAGGGCUCCUAAGAUUGGCUCCUUAUGGGGUUGGCUUUUUCAUGAACUUCGGUGUGAGAAACAGAGAUACGCAAUAUACUGACUUCCUUUUGCAAGACAUCUGUGAAGGUCAAGACACUCUCCAAGCACUCCUUUCCGGCCUGCUGUCCCCAGCCUAACACUGCUCAUGAGGAAGUAACCAGCAGCCAUCAAAGAUUGGCCUCGGCGCAUCCUCCUACACCACCAGGACUGCUGGGAGGUGGUGAACUGCAUUUUCUUCUUUUUCUGUGGCUUCUGAGUGCAGAUCCCCAUUUGUGUAGAGCCAAUGAAUGGUAAAUAUCAAGUCCUUGACUUUCUUAGACCUGUGGGACUAGUGUAGAAAAAAAUAAAAG
rnacentral:lncRNA from 1 species